rnacentral:rRNA from 1 species
CGCAAUGGGCGAAAGCCUGACGGAGCGACACCGCGUGGAGGAUGAAGUUUUUCGGAAUGUAAAAUCCUUUUGACAGGGAGGAAAAAAAUGACGGUACCACUAUAAGAAGCAUUGGCUAAAUACGUGCCAGCAGCCGCGGUAAUACGUAGGAUGCAAGCGUUGUUCGGAAUUAUUGGGCGUAAAGGGUGUGUAGGUGGUCUUGUUAGUCUUCUGUUAAAGCUCCCGGCUUAACCGGGAAAGUGCAGAGGAAACGGCAAGACUAGAGGAUGUGAGAGGUUUAUGGAACUCAUGGUGUAGGGGUGAAAUCCGUUGAUAUCAUGGGGAACACCAAAAGCGAAGGCAAUAAACCGGCGCAUUCCUGACACUGAAACACGAAAGCGU